rnacentral:rRNA from 1 species
CAACGUAGGGGGCAAGCGUUGGUCCGGAUUCAUUGGGCGUAAAGAGGCUCGAUAGGCGGUUCGAUUAAGUCGGGUGUGAAACCUCCAGGCUCAACCCUGGAGACGCCACCCGAUACUGUCGUGACUAGAGUCCAGUAGGGGAGUGUGGAAGUUCCUGGUGUAGCGGUGAAAUGCGCAGAUAUCAGGAGGAACACCAGUGGCGAAGGCGGCACUCUGGGCUGGCACUGACGCUGAGGAGCGAAAGCGUGGGGAGCGAACAGG